UGGGGAAUUUUGGACAAUGGGCGAAAGCCUGAUCCAGCAAUGCCGCGUGUGUGAAGAAGGCCUUCGGGUUGUAAAGCACUUUUGUCCGGAAAGAAAUCCUUGGCUCUAAUACAGUCGGGGGAUGACGGUACCGGAAGAAUAAGCACCGGCUAACUACGUGCCAGCAGCCGCGGUAAUACGUAGGGUGCAAGCGUUAAUCGGAAUUACUGGGCGUAAAGCGCACGCAGGCGGUUUGUUAAGUCAGAUGUGAAAUCCCCGGGCUCAACCUGGGAACUGCAUUUGAAACUGGCAAGCUAGAGUCUCGUAGAGGGGGGUAGAAUUCCAGGUGUAGCGGUGAAAUGCGUAGAGAUCUGGAGGAAUACCGGUGGCGAAGGCGGCCCCCUGGACGAAGACUGACGCUCAGGUGCGAAAGCGUGGGGAGCAAACAGGAUUAGAUACCCUGGUAGUCCACGCUGUAAAACGAUGUCAACUAGUUGUUGGGGAUUCAUUUCCUUAGUAACGUAGCUAACGCGUGAAGUUGACCGCCUGGGGAGUACGGUCGCAAGAUUAAAACUCAAAGGAAUUGACGGGGUC
rnacentral:rRNA from 1 species